rnacentral:lncRNA from 1 species
CUGGCAGAUGUUACCACACCUGGGAGAUUACAACGAGCACGAAUGUGUGUUGUGAAGAAAGGUCUCUUCAGGAACGCAGGAUGACAUUCAAAUGUUCCAUUGGAGCUGACCAGAGAGUCCUCUCUUCAAUGGACCUUGAACCAACCACUCCGACAGAUACCCUCCUCAGCCAUAAAACAGCUAUAACACCCCUGCCCUGCAUUUUUCAUUCCCUCUCUGUUUGCAAUGAUAGUUUCCUGCUGAAAAACUACAGUUCCCAGCUUCCCUUGUGGACAAUGGAAGUCAUUUCCGCCCCUAUGAGGGGCCUCAUCCUAUCUUCUUCUGAAGGCAUUUUGGCCAUCUGCACACACUGUAUCAUUUUCGGACCUGUCUCCGGAUUUCUUCUGAAGACCGUAUAAUUUUGGGAUCUCAUCUCCAGAUCUCUUUUGAGGACGACUGACUCAUCAAGAAAUGACUAACAAACUGAAGAAAGACCACGCCUUCUGGGCGGCUGUGUGUCUGCUGCUUAGCAUUGUUCCUGAGCUUCUUAAUGCUCUGCCCGAGGAAGACGAUGAUACAAUAAACACAGAUUCCGAGCUGCGGCCAAUGAAACCGUUGCAUACAUUCUGUGCAAUGAAGGCGGAAGACGGGCCCUGCAAAGCAAUGAUACGGAGUUAUUAUUUCAAUAUGAACAGUCACCAGUGUGAAGAAUUUAUAUACGGGGGAUGCAGAGGAAACAAGAAC